GAAACUAGCCAGACAUAGCAAAAUAAAACCUAAACAUAAUUAAAAAGAACGCAAUUGUAAAAACUGAAUUAAAUAAAAACCGAAUUAAAUAAAAACUGAAGUAGCGGCUUGAAUCUUCAAUCUUGAUCCAAACCUUAAAAACUAGAAAGCAAUAAAAUUCUAAAGCUAAAAACUAAAGUAUGAAUGCUAAGGUUUUCGGGUGUCUGCCGUCUGAUGAUCUCCUUUAGGUCAAAAGAGGACCUAUUUAUAAGCUUCAAACUUCC
rnacentral:lncRNA from 1 species